rnacentral:rRNA from 1 species
AUUGAACGCUGGCGGCAGGCCUAACACAUGCAAGUCGAGCGAGCGGCGGACGGGUGAGUAAUGUAUGGGGAUCUGCCUGAUUGAGGGGUAUAACUACUGGAACCGGUAUAUAAUACCGCAUACCAUCAGAUGAACCCAUAUGGGAUUAGCUUGUAGGUGAUGUAACGGCUCACCUAGGCGACGAUCCCUAGCUGGUCUGAGAGGAUGAUCAGACACACUGGGACUGAGACACGGCCCAGACUCCUACGUGAGGCAGCAGUGGGGAAUAUUGCACAAUGGGCGCAAGCCUGAUGCAGCCAGGCCGCGUGUAUGAAGAAGGCCGUCGGGUUGUAAAGUACUUUCAGUCGGGAGGCGUUACCGACAGAAGAAGCACCGGCUAACUCCGUGCCAGCAGCCGCGGUAAUAC